GUUCCCAGGCGGGCUCUGCCCCCGGCCGGGCCCUGCCCAGCCUCUCCGCUGCUUCCCUGCCUCUUCUGCAGACCCUCCCUCUGCCCUUCCCAGCCUUGCUCUUCCUGGCGCCCGCUGCGCCCGGUUCACGCUGGCGUGUGAAGCAGAGGUGGAGGGAGAAAGCGUCUCAACGCCACAGGAGCAGCUGGGCCUCAGGGGAGUCUUUACUGAAACGCAGGUUUCACCCUCAGAGCGCGCUGCCAGUGUAACCUAUAACCUAUAACCAGUAAUAACCCCGCACCCCGAUUUGCAGUCGUUCCACUAAGGCCGCGGCUCCCAGGCUCUUGCUGCCUUGGCUUGUAAGGACCCACGGGUCCGAAGAUGGAAACUGCUGCAGGUGAAAUGUGAAGUGAGAGCUAGUGCCAGCCUGGUGCUGUCAGACAGAUAGAUUGUCUUCGCACUGCUGCAGAAUCUUCUUGGAAGACAUCCAGCUUUCUCCUCGGCUUUGUGCCGGCGCUGCACACUGCCCUCCCCGGACAUCCGUCCCUUUGGCCACCAGUGCUCUUCUGGUUCUGAGAAGGUCACAGGUGCAGUUCCAAGGGUUCCCAUCUAAAUACAGAUGGCGAAGACGAGAUCCAACCUAGCAAGGGUUUCUGGAAGUCUGAGCAAAAAUAAAACAAUAGAAAGGUGUUAUAUUCAUCAUACUG